rnacentral:rRNA from 1 species
GAUAUUGGACAAUGGGGGGAACCCUGAUCCAGCGACGCCGCGUGAGUGAAGAAGUAUCUCGGUAUGUAAAGCUCUAUCAGCAGGGAAGAAUCAUGACGGUACCUGAGUAAGAAGCCCCGGCUAACUACGUGCCAGCAGCCGCGGUAAUACGUAGGGGGCAAGCGUUAUCCGGAAUUACUGGGUGUAAAGGGAGCGUAGACGGUGAUGUAAGUCUGGAGUGAAAGGCGGGGGCCCAACCCCCGGACUGCUCUGGAAACUGUAUGACUGGAGUGCAGGAGAGGUAAGCGGAAUUCCUAGUGUAGCGGUGAAAUGCGUAGAUAUUAGGAGGAACACCAGUGGCGAAGGCGGCUUACUGGACUGUAACUGACGUUGAGGCUCGAAAGCGUGGGGAGCAAACA